rnacentral:rRNA from 1 species
GAUGAACGCUGACAGAAUGCUUAACACAUGCAAGUCGAUGGGGAAGUGGUGCUUGCACCAUGGUAACCAUGGCGGACGGGUGAGUAACACGUAAGGAACUUACCUGCGGGACCGGGAUAACAGCAGGAAACUGCUGACAAGACCGGAUAAGGUCAUUAAGCUGCAUAGCUUAGUGAUGAAAGGAGACGCCUGCGGAGAGCCUUGCGUCCUAUUAGCUAGUUGGAGGGGUAACGGCCCACCAAGGCGAAGAUAGGUAGCCGGCCUGAGAGGGUGGACGGCCACAAGGGGACUGAGAUACGGCCCUUACUCCUACGGGAGGCAGCAGUGGGGAAUAUUGGACAAUGGGGGCAACCCUGAGCCAGCAAUUCUGUGUGCACGAAGACGGUUUUCGGAUUGUAAAGUGCUUUCAGCAGGGAAGAAGGAAGUGACGGUACCUGCAGAAGAAGCGACGGCUAAAUACGUG